AGAGUUUGAUCCUGGCUCAGGAUGAACGCUAGCUACAGGCUUAACACAUGCAAGUCGAGGGGAAACGACAUCGAAAGCUUGCUUUUGAUGGGCGUCGACCGGCGCACGGGUGAGUAACGCGUAUCCAACCUGCCCAUCACUUGGGGAUAACCUUGCGAAAGUAAGACUAAUACCCAAUGAUAUCUCUAGAAGACAUCUGAAAGAGAUUAAAGAUUUAUCGGUGAUGGAUGGGGAUGCGUCUGAUUAGCUUGUUGGCGGGGUAACGGCCCACCAAGGCUACGAUCAGUAGGGGUUCUGAGAGGAAGGUCCCCCACAUUGGAACUGAGACACGGUCCAAACUCCUACGGGAGGCAGCAGUGAGGAAUAUUGGUCAAUGGACGAGAGUCUGAACCAGCCAAGUAGCGUGCAGGAUGACGGCCCUAUGGGUUGUAAACUGCUUUUAUAAGGGAAUAAAGUGAGUCUCGUGAGACUUUUUGCAUGUACCUUAUGAAUAAGGACCGGCUAAUUCCGUGCCAGCAGCCGCGGUAAUACGGAAGGUCCGGGCGUUAUCCGGAUUUAUUGGGUUUAAAGGGAGCGUAGGCCGGAGAUUAAGCGUGUUGUGAAAUGUAGACGCUCAACGUCUGCACUGCAGCGCGAACUGGUUUCCUUGAGUACGCACAAAGUGGGCGGAAUUCGUGGUGUAGCGGUGAAAUGCUUAGAUAUCACGAAGAACUCCGAUUGCGAAGGCAGCUCACUGGAGCGCAACUGACGCUGAAGCUCGAAAGUGCGGGUAUCGAACAGGAUUAGAUACCCUGGUAGUCCGCACGGUAAACGAUGGAUGCCCGCUGUUGGUCUGAAUAGGUCAGCGGCCAAGCGAAAGCAUUAAGCAUCCCACCUGGGGAGUACGCCGGCAACGGUGAAACUCAAAGGAAUUGACGGGGGCCCG
rnacentral:rRNA from 1 species